UACGGAGGGGGCUAGCGUUGUUCGGAAUUACUGGGCGUAAAGCGCACGUAGGCGGCUUUGUAAGUCAGAUGUGAAAGCCCGGGGCUCAACCUCGGAACUGCCUUUGAUGCUGGGGAUCUGGAGUCCGGGAGAGGUGAGCGGAACUGCGAGUGUAGAGGUGAAAUUCGUAGAUAUUCGCAGGAACACCAGUGGCGAAGGCGGCUCACUGGCCCGGAACUGACGCUGAGGUGCGAAAGCGUGGGGAGCAAACAGG
rnacentral:rRNA from 1 species